rnacentral:rRNA from 1 species
CUACGUGCCAGCAGCCGCGGUAAUACGUAGGGUGCGAGCGUUAAUCGGAAUUACUGGGCGUAAAGCGAGCGCAGACGGUUACUUAAGCAGGAUGUGAAAUCCCCGGGCUCAACCUGGGAACUGCGUUCUGAACUGGGUGACUAGAGUGUGUCAGAGGGAGGUAGAAUUCCACGUGUAGCAGUGAAAUGCGUAGAGAUGUGGAGGAAUACCGAUGGCGAAGGCAGCCUCCUGGGAUAACACUGACGUUCAUGCUCGAAAGCGUGGGUAGCAAACAGGAUUAGAUACCCUGGUAGUCCACGCCCUAAACGAUGUCAAUUAGCUGUUGGGCAACUUGAUUGCUUAGUAGCGUAGCUAACGCGUGAAAUUGACCGCCUGGGGAGUACGGCCGCAAGGUUAAAACUCAAAUGAAUUGACGGGGGCCCGCACAAGCGGUGGAGCAUGUGGUUUAAUUCGAUGCAACGCGAAGAACCUUACCUACUCUUGACAUCCAGAGAAUUCGCUAGAGAUAG